rnacentral:rRNA from 1 species
UACCUGGCGGCGAUAGCGCGGUGGUCCCACCUGACCCCAUGCCGAACUCAGAAGUGAAACGCCGUAGCGCCGAUGGUAGUGUGGGGCUUCCCCAUGUGAGAGUAGGGAACUGCCAGGUUU